UACGUAGGGUGCGAGCGUUAAUCGGAAUUACUGGGCGUAAAGCGUGCGCAGGCGGUUUUGUAAGCCAGAUGUGAAAGCCCCGGGCUUAACCUGGGAAUGGCAUUUGGGACUGCAAGGCCUGAGUGCGGCAGAGGAGACUGGAAUUCCUGGUGUAGCAGUGAAAUGCGUAGAUAUCAGGAGGAAUACCGAUGGCGAAGGCAGGUCUCUGGGCUGACACUGACGCUCAUGCACGAAAGCGUGGGGAGCAAACAGG
rnacentral:rRNA from 1 species